CACUUUGCCCUCGCCAUCUUCUUCCCCCAAUUUUUGCCUCUUGAUUUUAUUGGUUUCUUGAUUAUUGGAUUUUGAUUUCUUGAUUUAGGUUUUUUUCCUGAAUGAUAUGUGUGCAGAUCGGGCGAGGAAGAGAAGAGGAAGGAUCUCGAGGAAGAAUUAAGAACAAAACGAGAGAUGCAGAUCAAGGAGGUCGGCAGAUGGGAUGAGGUUGGGUGAGGUGCACGAGGACAAAGGUGCAGGAGCCCCUACAGCCCUACUGGCCCUGAUCCCAAAUCCCAUGGACCGGCCCUGACCUCCUGGUCGUCGAAUGAACAAGUCUGCUUGCUAAAAAAAAUAAGUUUUCUUAAUCAGUAUAUAUGGCAUCUCUGCACAUGUCCUUUCUUCGUGGAUAGGCCACAAGCUUUGUUAGUUGUAUGAUGGAGAUGGAAUUUCAGGUUGAUAGUUUCAACAAUAGUUAUCUAUAUUAGUUAUUGUCAGUCUGACAGACUUUUGUCACCUUCUAUCAUGUUUACAUGUAAGUAAGUUGAACAGGCUAUGCAAACUACUGCAUAAAAAAGUGCACGUAGCACAACCUAUAGAGAGGUCCAGAAUUGAUUUUGUGUGAUGCAACCAGGAACGACAAAGGCUUACUAUGUUCCAUUAAAGCAGAUAAGAAAAUAAUUUAGUUCGGAUGAAUUGAUUAAUUAUAAAAAGUUGAUAGUCCAUUGCGUGGAUCUUUGAGUUUGGUGUUGCUUUUCUUCUUCAAAUUCACGGAUCUAGCUUCAAUCAAAAAACCGAGAGCAACCUUCAUUAACUUGAAGACUCCCUUUUUCGGAUCUGGAGUAUAGCAAUAGGUCAUCAGUUGUGGUGUCAAAUACAAGAUUAGGCUAUUUAAAGCUUGCCAUGUAGUAGACCUACAAGGAGAACAAAAAAUAUAACUUAUGUUGGUUAGAACAGAUGCUCAGCUUGCCUUGUUUUUUGCCUCUUUUUGGUCCUGUUAAGAAGAGAUGCUAAAUGCUGGUUCCUGACCACGUCCCUUGUUGGGCGCCCUCGAUAUCUCAACCUUGUGGCGAUAUGGUCAUUUAUUUUGAGUAAUUGUUUUAUAGAGAUGUAUGGUUACCUGAAUAGGCUUACAUAUAUAGUCCAGUAAGAAAACUAUAUAAAUUCCUGAGAACACUAACUGCUAGCUUAUACACUUGCUUGCCGAGUUAACAUGUUAAUAUGCCUGUUUCUCUCGUUUCCAGCGCACCACCAUGCAUGUUCAGUUUGAUGCUUUGGGUCGAAUGUGUGUAGCGAGAAUAAAGGUAGUAGAUGCAGACUGUAAAGAUAGUAUAUACAUUCAUACGUGAUAAGCGAUUAGGUAGUAGUUGCUGCUUACUCACAAGGGUUGGAUUGGUGGGAAGAAGUUUACAAAGGCCUACUGGAACUGUUUAUGGAAGUCGUUGUCUGGCCAUACUGAACAUACUUUCUGCAACUAAACUGAUCAGGUUGGCUUGUCUUUGGAAAUCUUUGCCUAAUGUGUUCUUCAUUGGCCUGCUUUUAUAUUAGCAGUUUUGUUCUUUUGUCUCUUCUGUGAUAGUUUUAGGCGAGAACAGAGUGUUUAGAAUUGUGAUAUAGUCUACAGACUUUUCGUAAUUCUUAAAAUAUGCCGGUAGUGGUGUGUGCACAAAUAUAUGUGCCUGGAUUUGUUUGAUACGCCUACUGUAUUUCAGGCGUGUUACUCUUUCUUGGAUAAAUUGACUGAUGCUUGCUUCUUUUAAUAAAAGAUCCUAGAUUAGGAUCUACUGUGCUGUGCUGAAUGCAAUUGUCUUAAUCUAGACAGCAGCCGAGCCCAGUCAACAAUUCCUUAGACGAGGCAGAGGAGAGCAGAGAGGGCCAGCCGUUGUAUUUACAAUUCAUGCAAGUAGCUGCUGAUUCCAUUCAUAUUUACUGCUUCCUCCUAUUUAUUGGCUGCGUUCAUUUGUGUGCUCUGGUUGUUUAUUGUUGUUGUGCUCAUUUCCUCUGUUCAUUGUUGUUGUGCGCAUUCUCCACUUCUAUGUCAUGAAAAUAUUCUUGCUUAAUAAUUUAAAAUGGUUUCCUGUGUCUCUUGUGGUCUAUUCCCAGUCCUAUCAUCCCAUCAUUCUUCCUCUUUACUGGUUGGCUUGGUUUUCCUUGCGCCUGUGCAGAUUUGCUUGAGGGUUUGUUCUGUUGUGUUCCCUGAAUCCUCGUAACUGCUGUGCUUUCUGCCAUGUUUUUCUUCUUCGUUUUCAUGUGGAAGUAUUUGAUAUCCUGGGGAUGGAUGAUUUAUUCAAAGAAUGUCCCGGGAUCUGUGAAUCUCGGAAUAGAAUCAACAUGAAUGUUGAGACAUGUUUUUUCCUGAAGGUAAUACUUUUCCCUGUUACCAAGCAUUUUCCUCAUGUUUGCUUCUAAAAUGUAACUGGCAAGGCUUAUAUGAUUUGUGGGUGUAUGAUCUGGACUGUGCUUCUCUGAAAGUAUGCUCUUGGGAGAUUUUUGCUUGGUAAACAAAUGACAUGCUAAAAUGUUGGUUGUUCCCUGUUCUUCUAAAAAAAAGUUUGGUAUUGAUUCAUGAUUUGUGCUUAAUACAUGAUGUUGGUAUAUGAUCACUUUAUUGCUCAUGCCUCACUUGAUGUUGAAUGGUGUACAGGCAAAGUGCCAAUGGAGUGGCAUAUAUUGUACUUCGCUACUACCUACAUGCGAUUCCAUUUGAUUUCACUUUGAUUUUGUUUUUCUGCUGAUCGUUUAUAGGUGGUUGUUGAUGAAUCAUGUAAGGAUGGUGCAGAACUCACAAGAGGGAAAUGACCGAACUGCGGUAACCAAAUCAAAUAGCUGAUAAGGUUCACUUGGAAGUGGUUGAGGUAGCCUGACCUGGUGAGGAUCCAACUAACGAACUGACAUGGUGACGCGAUGCGUACAUCGGAGGAAGUAGAUCUUGUGCGUGCGGGAGUGGAUCUUGCAAUUGAAGUCGUCUCUCCGACGCAGAGGAGCAGCGGCGAAGUGGCGGAAACUACAGGGUGAGUGAGAGAUUGGAGAAGGAGGGGAUGGUCAUGAAGUGAGUAAGUGGAUUAACAUCGUUUGGUCAGGUAACUUGGGCCGGCCCAUUAUUGUGAAUUUGUCAUUUGUCUUCUUGUAAGCCCACAACACGGUUUAAAUAUGUAUUGGGAGUUUGGGACAACUAAAUCAGAUAAAUGAAAGAAAUUAUAACGCU